rnacentral:rRNA from 1 species
GAUGAACGCUGGCGGCGUGCCUAAUACAUGCAAGUCGAGCGAAUGGAUUGAGAGCUUGCUCUUAUGAAGUUAGCGGCGGACGGGUGAGUAACACGUGGGUAACCUGCCCAUAAGACUGGGAUAACUCCGGGAAACCGGGGCUAAUACCGGAUAACAUUUUGAACCGCAUGGUUCGAAAUUGAAAGGCGGCUUCGGCUGUCACUUAUGGAUGGACCCGCGUCGCAUUAGCUAGUUGGUGAGGUAACGGCUCACCAAGGCAACGAUGCGUAGCCGACCUGAGAGGGUGAUCGGCCACCAUGGGACCGAGACACGGCCCAGUCUCCUACGGGAGGCAGCAGUAGGGAACCUUCCGCAAUGGACGAAAGUCUGACGGAGCAACGCCGCGUGAGUGAUGAAGGCUUUCGGGUCGUAAAACUCUGUUGUUAGGGAAGAACAAGUGCUAGUUGAAUAAGCUGGCACCUUGACGGUACCUAACCAGAAAGCCACGGCUAACUACGUGCCAGCCGCCGCAGUAA